rnacentral:rRNA from 1 species
AGCUCCAAUAUCGUAUAUUAAAGUUGUUGUGGUUAAAAAGCUCGUAGUUGGAUCUCGGCGGUCUGAGGGCGGUUCGCUUGAUUGAGUGCUACUGCUCUAUAGGCCGUGGUUUUGCCAGAGGUCUCGGGGUGCUCUUAACCGAGUGUCCUGCGAUGCUGGCAGGUUUACUUUGAAAAAAUUAGAGUGCUCAAAGCAGGCUUUUACGCCUGAAUAUUCGUGCAUGGAAUAAUAGAAUAGGAAGUCGUUUCUAUUUUGUUGGUUUUCGGAAAUCGACUUAAUGAUUAAGAGGGACUGCCGGGGACAUUCGUAUUGCGGGGUUAGAGGUGAAAUUCUUGGAUCCUCGCAAGACGACCUACUGCGAAAGCAUUUGUCAAGAAUGUUU